UUCACAGCAACUCCAAGCCCCUCCCUUCCCUGCUUGGUAAUCAUGGCUUCUGUCUCCACCAAGGAGCUUUCUGCGCAAACUUCCCAGUUUGCAAAGGGAGGAGAGAAGGCUGAAAGCCCAGCACCCUCAAGGAAGUUGCUCCGGCAAAUAAAUGAAGUGACCCCAAUGGCAGAAGGCAAAAACGACGCUCAAUGGCACUACUAGCUCACGUUCUAGAGAGCCUCGCUCCAGGAUCAGCCCCGCCCUGCGCCCGGCUAGCAACUCUGCCCAUGGAAUCUACAGCAAUGCCGGAGGGUGCGCGCCAAGAGGGGAUGCGCAGCAGUUUUCACAGCCUAAGAAUUUCGAGCCUGGAAAUUAAACGGGGAUUGAUCUUCAUUUGACCCUUUUGGGUUUGAGGCUAAUUUGCAGCGCUCCCCAAGGGUCUCGUUAUUUGGGUGC